GACGAACGCUGGCGGCGUGCCUAAUACAUGCAAGUAGAACGCUGAAGCUUGGUGCUUGCACCGAGCGGAUGAGUUGCGAACGGGUGAGUAACGCGUAGGUAACCUGCCUGGUAGCGGGGGAUAACUAUUGGAAACGAUAGCUAAUACCGCAUAAGAGUAGAUGUUGCAUGACAUUUGCUUAAAAGGUGCAAUUGCAUCACUACCAGAUGGACCUGCGUUGUAUUAGCUAGUUGGUGAGGUAACGGCUCACCAAGGCAACGAUACAUAGCCGACCUGAGAGGGUGAUCGGCCACACUGGGACUGAGACACGGCCCAGACUCCUACGGGAGGCAGCAGUAGGGAAUCUUCGGCAAUGGACGGAAGUCUGACCGAGCAACGCCGCGUGAGUGAAGAAGGUUUUCGGAUCGUAAAGCUCUGUUGUAAGAGAAGAACGAGUGUGAGAGUGGAAAGUUCACACUGUGACGGUACCUUACCAGAAAGGGACGGCUAACUACGUGCCAGCAGCCGCGGUAAUACGUAGGUCCCGAGCGUUGUCCGGAUUUAUUGGGCGUAAAGCGAGCGCAGGCGGUUAGAUAAGUCUGAAGUUAAAGGCUGUGGCUUAACCAUAGUACGCUUUGGAAACUGUUUAACUUGAGUGCAAGAGGGGAGAGUGGAAUUCCAUGUGUAGCGGUGAAAUGCGUAGAUAUAUGGAGGAACACCGGUGGCGAAAGCGGCUCUCUGGCUUGUAACUGACGCUGAGGCUCGAAAGCGUGGGGAGCAAACAGG
rnacentral:rRNA from 1 species